UUUUAUUUUUGGAUUGCCAUGUGUCGUGAAUGGUCGUAAAACUCAAUGUUGGCCAUCAUGUGGUUUUGUUCAACGAAUCACCCUCCAUGUGCACAUGACCUGCAUGAAAUCCAAGAAAGUGAAUCAAAGUUGGUCAUGCUAGAAAUCAUGUAUCCAUUAAUGACAGUGUGUGGAGUUGAAUAAAUGAAGUUACAGAUUAAAGUUACUCUUGCUGCUGUUAUUAGUUGGCUCUGGAUUAAAUACUCCUGUUGUGAGGAAGCAUCUGAUACAGCUAGCCUAAACAAGCGGAGAUGUGGAUGUUCUUCUUUUGAAGACCAAAGCCCUUCAACCUCUUUACGCAGGUCUUGGCAUCCGAAAUUAUCAAGCGAUGAUGAGGGUUCGGGAUACAUCGUCACCGUGCUGAGUGAACUGUCAUUAUACCUGGCAAAACAUCAAACCAUCCAGUAAAUCUUGGCAUCCAGCUAGCACUCUUUAUUUUAGUAUCCGGCAUUCUGUGCAUAUACAUCAACUAUGUUUGUGACAGGGUACCAUGCAGAAACAUUCCAGGAAUAUAUUGAAGAAUGUUUAGUGAAGAUAACUUAUCUGGAAUCCUUCAAUUAGUGCCAUGUACCUUUGUUGUUUAAUACCUCUGAUUGGUGAACUUUAGAUGCAACGGUAGACUGUAGUUGCAAGAAAUAAUUCAGUGGUUACAGAACUCUCUUUUAUGAUUGGUGAACUUUAGAUGCAACGGUAGACUGUAGUUGCAAGAAAUAAUUCAGUGGUUACAGAACUCUCUUUUGUAAGACAUAGAGAUUUGGUUCUAGAGCUGUUAAUCAAUAAUGUCAAACGACUCCUACUGGCUGCUUCUGCAAUGAGCCCCGCCGGCAGGUGAACUCACAUCCACCAUCAUAAACAACCUGCAUUUUACAAUAGACCAAUUUAAUACAGCAUCCAAUACAGCAAGCCUUGUUACAGGCCAAAAGCAGGUCAUGAACCAAGCCAUAUGCUGCAAUGGACAAAGCUCCCUGUUAAAAACAACAAUGCAGUCCUUUGACACGUAAGUCCAGUCAUGAUAUGCUGUAGAUUCCAAGCCAUGACAAAGAUCUCACCUGCUGUGCGGAAUCAGGAAAAGGUUGGACCAAAGUGAGGAUCUCGAAACCAUCCCACCAACCAACGCCUCCUAUCUGUGCGGGCCAUGAACCUAAGGUCGUAGUAGUGUUGCAGAAUGACAGCGAUUACCUGCUGGGUGCAGACCUGCUAGGCCGUUUGUCUCGAUUACUAAUCGAGCCUUCACACACCAUCACGAUCCUUGAAUCAAGUGCAUGAGUGUCAAGCUACCUGCAAGCCAG
rnacentral:lncRNA from 1 species